rnacentral:rRNA from 1 species
GACGAACGCUGGCGGCGUGCUUAACACAUGCAAGUCGAACGGAAAGGCCCUGCUUUUGUGGGGUGCUCGAGUGGCGAACGGGUGAGUAACACGUGAGUAACCUGCCCUUGACUUUGGGAUAACUUCAGGAAACUGGGGCUAAUACCGGAUAGGAGCUCCUGCUGCAUGGUGGGGGUUGGAAAGUUUCGGCGGUUGGGGAUGGACUCGCGGCUUAUCCGCUUGUUGGUGGGGUAGUGGCUUACCAAGGCUUUGACGGGUAGCCGGCCUGAGAGGGUGACCGGCCACAUUGGGACUGAGAGACGGCCCAGACGCCUACGGGAGGCAGCGGUGGGGAGUAUGGCACAAUGGGCGGAAGCCUGAGGCAGCAGCGCCGCGUGCGGGAUGACGGCCUUCGGGUUGUAAACCGCUGUCGCCUGUGCCGAAGCGUGAGUGACGGUAAUGGGUAAAGAAGCACCGGCUAACUACGUG